GCCAGACGCGGUUGCAUGUGCCUGUAGUUCCAGCCACUGGGGAGGCUGAGACAGAAGGAGUGCUUGAGUCCAGGAGUUCUGGGCUAUAGUGCACUCUGCCAGUCGGGUGUCUGCGCUAAUUUCGGCAUCUAUAUGGUGAUCUCCUGGGGGGUGGGGCCACCAGGUUGUCUAAGGAGGGGUGAAGUGGCCCAGGUCGGAAACGGAGCAGGUCAAGACUGUGCUGAUCAGUAGUGUGAUAGUGCCUGUGAAUGGCCACUGCACUCCAGCCUGGGCAACAUAGCAAGACCCUGUCUCUC
rfam:Otolemur garnettii contig170613, whole genome shotgun sequence.